ACACGCAUGACACACUGCAUAUCAAUAAGCGGAGGAAAAGAAACUAACAAGGAUUCCCUUAGUAACGGCGAGUGAAGCGGGAAGAGCUCAAAUUUGAAAUCUUCAAGGUUUUACCUUGACGAAUUGUAGUUUAAAGAAGUGUUUUCUGUUGAAGUUUUGGUAAAAGUUCUUUGGAAUAGGACAUCAUAGAGGGUGAGAAUCCCGUAUUUGACCAUUAUUUUCAGCUGUGUGAUACACUUUCAAAGAGUCGGAUUGUUUGGGAAUGCAGUCCAAAAUGGGUGGUAAAUUUCAUCUAAAGCUAAAUAUUGGCGAGAGACCGAUAGCGAACAAGUACCGUGAGGGAAAGAUGAAAAGAACUUUGAAAAGAGAGUUAAACAGUACGUGAAAUUGUCAAAAGGGAAGCGUUUGACACCAGUGUUGUUUUCUCGAAAAUCAAUUAAAAAAAGUUGGAUUUUGUGUUGUAUUGACCUUAACAGCUUUCUUCACUCUUUUCCUGCUUUUUUUAAUGCACUCUUCGUUUAACAAGUCAACAUCAGUUUCUUUUGUUGUAGAAGGGUCAUUGGAAGGUGGCUUUCUUUUCGGAGAAAGUGUUUAUAGCCUUUGAUCUCUGCAACCGGAGAGACUGAGGUCUGCAGCGUAGACUCUUCGGGGUUAGAUACAUUUGUGCUAAGCUAUAGCCUUUUAUAGACAACUUGUUGACUAUAUUUAGUCUUGUGGCUUACUCGCUUAUGCUAUUUUACCUACGCUUAGGAUGUUGAGCGCAUGUCUCUCUCU
rnacentral:rRNA from 1 species